rnacentral:rRNA from 1 species
AUUGAACGCUGGCGGCAGGCCUAACACAUGCAAGUCGAGCGGUAGCACAGAGAGCUUGCUCUCGGGUGACGAGCGGCGGACGGGUGAGUAAUGUCUGGGAAACUGCCUGAUGGAGGGGGAUAACUACUGGAAACGGUAGCUAAUACCGCAUAACGUCGCAAGACCAAAGUGGGGGACCUUCGGGCCUCAUGCCAUCAGAUGUGCCCAGAUGGGAUUAGCUGGUAGGUGGGGUAACGGCUCACCUAGGCGACGAUCCCUAGCUGGUCUGAGAGGAUGACCAGCCACACUGGAACUGAGACACGGUCCAGACUCCUACGGGAGGCAGCAGUGGGGAAUAUUGCACAAUGGGCGCAAGCCUGAUGCAGCCAUGCCGCGUGUGUGAAGAAGGCCUUCGGGUUGUAAAGCACUUUCAGCGGGGAGGAAGGCGGUGAGGUUAAUAACCUCAUCGAUUGACGUUACCCGCAGAAGAAGCACCGGCUAACUCCGUGCCAGCAGCCGCGGUAAAAC